rnacentral:rRNA from 1 species
GACGAACGCUGGCGGCGUGCUUAACGCAUGCAAGUCGAACGGAAAGGCCCUGCUUUUGUUGGGUGCUCGAGUGGCGAACGGGUGAGUAACACGUGAGUAACCUGCCCUUGACUUUGGGAUAACUUCAGGAAACUGGGGCUAAUACCGGAUAGGAGCUCCUGCUGCAUGGUGGGGGUUGGAAAGUUUCGGCGGUUGGGGAUGGACUCGCGGCUUAUCAGCUUGUUGGUGGGGUAGUGGCUUACCAAGGCUUUGACGGGUAGCCGGCCUGAGAGGGUGACCGGCCACAUUGGGACUGAGAUACGGCCCAGACUCCUACGGGAGGCAGCAGUGGGGAAUAUUGCACAAUGGGCGGAAGCCUGAUGCAGCAACGCCGCGUGCGGGAUGACGGCCUUCGGGUUGGAAACCGCUUUCGCCGGUGACGAAGCGUGAGUGACGGUAAUGGGUAAAGAAGCACCGGCUAACUACGUG